rnacentral:rRNA from 1 species
AUGCAAGUCGAACGAACUCUGGUAUUGAUUGGUGCUUGCAUCAUGAUUUACAUUUGAGUGAGUGGCGAACUGGUGAGUAACACGUGGGAAACCUGCCCAGAAGCGGGGGAUAACACCUGGAAACAGAUGCUAAUACCGCAUAACAACUUGGACCGCAUGGUCCGAGUUUGAAAGAUGGCUUCGGCUAUCACUUUUGGAUGGUCCCGCGGCGUAUUAGCUAGAUGGUGGGGUAACGGCUCACCAUGGCAAUGAUACGUAGCCGACCUGAGAGGGUAAUCGGCCACAUUGGGACUGAGACACGGCCCAAACUCCUACGGGAGGCAGCAGUAGGGAAUCUUCCACAAUGGACGAAAGUCUGAUGGAGCAACGCCGCGUGAGUGAAGAAGGGUUUCGGCUCGUAAAACUCUGUUGUUAAAGAAGAACAUAUCUGAGAGUAACUGUUCAGGUAUUGACGGUAUUUAACCAGAAAGCCACGGCUAACUACGUGCCAGCAGCCGCGGUAAUACGUAGGUGGCAAGCGUUGUCCGGAUUUAUUGGGCGUAAAGCGAGCGCAGGCGGUUUUUUAAGUCUGAUGUGAAAGCCUUCGGCUCAACCGAAGAAGUGCAUCGGAAACUGGGAAACUUGAGUGCAGAAGAGGACAGUGGAACUCCAUGUGUAGCGGUGAAAUGCGUAGAUAUAUGGAAGAACACCAGUGGCGAAGGCGGCUGUCUGGUCUGUAACUGACGCUGAGGCUCGAAAGUAUGGGUAGCAAACAGGAUUAGAUACCCUGGUAGUCCAUACCGUAAACGAUGAAUGCUAAGUGUUGGAGGGUUUCCGCCCUUCAGUGCUGCAGCUAACGCAUUAAGCAUUCCGCCUGGGGAGUACGGCCGCAAGGCUGAAACUCAAAGGAAUUGACGGGGGCCCGCACAAGCGGUGGAGCAUGUGUUUAAUUCGAAGCUACGCGAAGACCUUACCAGGUCUUGACAUACUAUGCAAUCUAGAG